AUUGAACGCUGGCGGCAGGCCUAACACAUGCAAGUCGAACGAGGGGCGGGCGGGUGAGUAAUGUCUGGGAAAAUGCCUGAAGGAGGGGGAUAACUACUGGAAACGGUAGCUAAUACCGCAUACCAUCAGAUGUGCGCAGAUGGGAUUAGCUAGUUGGUGGGGUAACGGCUCACCAAGGCGACGAUCCCUAGCUGGUCUGCGAGGAGGACCAGCCACACUGGAACUGAGACACGGUCCAGACGCCUACGGGAGGCAGCAGUAGGGAAGAUUGCACAAUGGGCGCAAGCCUGACGGAGCCAUGCCGCGUGUAUGAAGAAGGCCUUCGGGUUGUAAAGUACUUUCAGCGGGGAGGCGUUACCCGCACAAGAAGCACCGGCUAACUCCGUGCCAGCAGCCGCGGUAAUAC
rnacentral:rRNA from 1 species